rfam:Wickerhamomyces anomalus NRRL Y-366-8 unplaced genomic scaffold WICANscaffold_1, whole genome shotgun sequence.
GGGCGGUUAGUUCAGUGGUAGAAUAGGUGCCUUCCAAGCACUAGGCAUGGGUUCGAUUCCCGUACCGCUCA